rnacentral:rRNA from 1 species
AUUGAACGCUGGCGGCAGGCCUAACACAUGCAAGUCGAGCGGAUGAGAAGAGCUUGCUCUUCGAUUCAGCGGCAGACGGGUGAGUAAUGCCUAGGAAUCUGCCUAGUAGUGGGGGACAACGUUUCGAAAGGAACGCUAAUACCGCAUACGUCCUACGGGAGAAAGUGGGGGAUCUUCGGACCUCACGCUAUUAGAUGAGCCUAGGUCGGAUUAGCUAGUUGGUAGGGUAAAGGCCUACCAAGGCGACGAUCCGUAACUGGUCUGAGAGGAUGAGCAGUCACACUGGAACUGGGACACGGUCCAGACUCCUACGGGAGGCAGCAGUGGGGAAUAUUGGACAAUGGGCGAAAGCCUGAUCCAGCCAUGCCGCGUGUGUGAAGAAGGCCUUCGGGUCGUAAAGCACUUUAAGUUGGGAGGAAGGGCUCAUAGCGAAUACCUGUGAGUUUUGACGUUACCAACAGAAUAAGCACCGGCUAACUUCGUGCCAGCCGCCGCGGUAA